UACGUAGGGAGCAAGCGUUGUCCGGAAUCAUUGGGCGUAAAGCGCGCGUAGGCGGCCCUGUAAGUCCGUUGUGAAAGUCAAAGGCUCAACCUUUGAAAGCCGAUGGAUACUGCAGGGCUAGAGUCCGGAAGAGGCGAGUGGAAUUCCUGGUGUAGCGGUGGAAUGCGCAGAUAUCAGGAGGAACACCAAUAGCGAAGGCACUCUACUGGGCUAUUACUGACACUCAGAGACGAAAGCUAGGGGAGCAAAUGGG
rnacentral:rRNA from 1 species